CUCCCCGCCAGCCCUCUCCGUUUGGUUCACCUUGCUUUUCUGGUCAUGGUUUGGAGGAUGCAAACACUGCAGACAGGUCAAGCCACCAGCUAAGGCAGGGACAGGGAGACAGGAGCAAUCGGGCUAAGCAAAGUGACAGUGAGAAACUCCAACAAGAGACUGCAAGGGGAAAGGGAGAUGCUGCCAGACUCGCCUGUCGCCUGUCUGCCUCAGCAACAGUUCCCCAGGUUCCAGUUAAUGGUCAUCUCUUUCCCCAAACCCUUCCCUCCUGUCAGGCUUGCGCUCAUAUCUUGGCAUAUUCUGCCCGUCAGAAAGUGUCUCGCCCAGCUCAGUGACCAGGGUAAAUACAAUCAGAUUCUCUGGCCCCAAAAGUGAGAGUUUCUUCCUCAGCAAGCAAGACUUAGCAAAUCUGGGUCAGAAGCUUCAUGCAAGCGAUGACAUUGCUAUCUGCAAGAAACUCCCAUCCCAGGCAAAUUGUAAAUAUUUGGGAACAUUCAAACAUUGGAUUAAUUUGCCAGUAACAGAAAGGAAAAGGACACAUUCAUCUUUUCUGUAUGACAUGAAUGAAAUAUUACUGUAAACAUCCACCUUUGUUUUGUACUGAGGCUUUUGCAUUAUGAUCAAAAUACCUGUUUUGAUGCAUUUACCCCAAUGUAUAACAGAACAUUUAUUGUAGUAUAGUCAUCUUUAAUUUUGUCUUCUCUCACUUUGACAGCUUGAAGUCUCCCCUUAAUUCCCAUCUCCUCAGCACAUGCUUCUUUCUGGUCCUCCGUCCCUGAUGUAUACAGAUGGCCUAAGGGCAAGUGAGGCAGCUGAGUGUCAUAACCAUAGGUACAGAAACAAAAAUACUAAUUUGCAGAAACAAAACAUUGGUCUGUAAUGUCCCUGUUACCAUGGGUAGAAGUUGACUGAAUUGCCGCAGUUCAAUAAUUACCCCGGUCAUCUGAGCCACACACCACAGUAAUGAGCCAUAUGCAUGUUCCUAAUUUGCACCUUUAUGAAAAUAAAUAGGCUAGCUUACGUACUUUAUUUUUUAAGUGGAUUGGUUCAGAGUCUGCACGCUGUCAGUUACCAUAACUCCAGAAAUGAAUGGUGAUCUUUUAAAUCACAGGAACUUGAUUUCAUAGCUCUAUUCGUCAUCUAUUCCAUCAUUUUUCAUCUUGCUUUCUUGCUCCUAGAUCUAAAUGAACUCUUCCCUAUCUUCCAAUAGAUGCUAAAGCUGCACAAGCACAAAACCUAAUAUUCCCCUGUCUGCAUCAUUAGCAAACUACACAGCUCUGGUUUCUUCAAGAACCUGAGUGAACUUCCUUGCUUCAGCUGUAACUUCUGCCCUGCUGUGAAGCACCUGAGCAGGGAUGUGCUCAGCCUGCAUCCCUCCUGCUCCUGCCUCUCCCACCCCUGCCUCUCACACCCACUGGUGGGCCCUGUGACGCUCUCACUGCUACUGACCCCUUCCUUCAGCUCUUCUUUCAUGAAGAAAACACCUCAGUAUCUUGUCUGCACAUUUGUGGUCCUGCUGCUGUUCCAGUUUCACUCAUCUUCUCCUAGUGACUUCACUACUUCAUGUUAGCUUGCUCUCUAGCAGCAUCGCAUACAUGUUUGCUGUUUGAUAGCAUCUUCCUUUCUAAGUCCUACAAAACACCAUUCUGGGGGUAUAUAAAGGCUGUCAUAACGAAGCAUGAAACAACAAAGUCGCAUUUGCUUUUUAUGUUCACUUCUUUUUAUAUAGCACAGCAAAAGAGCAAAAGCCUAUUAAUCACCAAAAUCGUCAUCCUAAUGCAUCUCCAGAGCGCUAGGAGUGGCACCACUUGUUGCCCACGGCCCCAGUUCUUCAGUCCCAUUUAGCGGACGGAAAAGCCGAGUGGAAUGCGGGGAAAACACUCCGCGAUAUGGCAUGGGAAUCUGCCUUUCUCCAACAUCCUUGGCACUGGGCCCAGCUCUCAAAAAAAGGGCAAAGGGGGCAUUUCUAGUGUGCAUUGUAAUCCCCACAAUCAGGGUGCUAUGCUCGUUUUUUAGGCAAAGGGCAUUAGUUCAGAGAGGGGCUGCAUGUAUUGGCCAAUCUCAUAAAAUGUCUGCGAGACUGAGCAUGUUCAGUCCCCCACAGGACAGGUUUUUAACCCUUUCCUGUCUGUAUAGCUAUAUCUCCAUUUAGAUGUGCCUCCUCAAUAGAUUUCCUAAUAUUAAGUCAUUUAGAUGACAAAAUCCUUGCUGCAGAAUAGUUUAGGCCUUCAAAAAUAAAAUUAAAAAAACCCACUAAUCACCAGUGUGAUUUCAAAUUUCAGUCUUCAAAACAUUAUUCCUGCUUUUCCUCACCUUCACUGCUAGCAGUAUUACUGAAUCAAACCUUUAAGACUACAUUCUUCUGCUAGAACUGGCCUGAGAUGUUUCAGGAAUUUGAAUGUAUAGUAUAAACUUAACUGAACAUGUAAGGAAUCUAGUAAGACAAGUCUAAUACCAAAGAAUUUGUUUCUAAUUUAGCAAAAAGACGUUAAAAUUAGCUCAGCAUUAGCUAACAUGCACUGGUUAACUGCGCCUUUUUUCUAGUCUAGCACGUAUCUCUUCCUAUGAUUUAGCUGUUUAAGAACCAUCCUGGAACUGGAAAACAGGUUUGAGCUUAAAAUAAGGCAAAAAUACAAGAACCCUGAAUUUAUAGCAGGAAAAGAUUGUGAAUGGAAGUUAGUUAAUGUGGUGUAGGUUUAGUUAAUAGCAAACACAUUUGUAACCACAUAAAUCCUUUUCCCAUUCUAAGCAACCUAGAAAUUGCGAUUUAAGCAUUAGUCCCCGAAAGAAAGUUGAUUUAAUGUACAAUUGCAAAAUUCCUGGCUAUGCAAUUAUAACAAUUAGAGCUGUGUAGCCCCAAGCUCACAAAUGCUUUUAUUUUGCUAUCCACAGGCAAAAAAAAAGGAAAUGAGAUUUUCGGGGCUUGAUAGAUCAUCCCAUUGAGUCCCAGAGCCACCCUUCUUCAGAAAGUUGUUUUGGGAUUUAGCCCUACAGGUCCUAUUUUUAUUAGGAACCUGAAACAAUUGUGAUCAAACAACAUCAAUUUUAGAGGAACAUGUCAAAAUAAGGAAUAAAAAUGAUGAGUAGUUUUGAACAAAUACGAAGUCGUCGCUGGUCUAUAUGUGACUAACAUAACAUUAUCAAAUGCCACUGAAGAGGCUGAAUUUGCUUUAGAAGGGCACCGGGGAAACAAGGAUAUUGUGCUUGGCUCUGUCCAUAGUCAGACAGUAAAUCAGUGAGAUGAUUCUAGUUCAUCUGUUGUUCGUCUUACUUAUCUUGUGUCACGCAGGGAGCCGCCUUUGUGAUUCGGUACCAGACUAUACUUGUUCAGCAUCUAGAAGGCAGCAAGGACAGUUUCUGCCCUGGACAACCUGGGGUUUUGGAACAUAGAUUUUAGUUUUCUUCACGGUUUUAGAGACUCAGUGAAAGACAUCUGGGAUGUCAAUUGAGGCUCCCAUGGAAAGAACCAAAAAAGAUAAUAAAUUUCGGAAAACAUGACAAAGAAGCCAUCUGAAAGUACGCGUGGAUACAGAUAAAGGUUUAUGUAGCUUCAGCUGGGAUAGUUAAUAUUAUUUCUGAGCUAUAAGGUAAUUAGCUCCUGCAUAUGCAGAAAUACUGAAACUUGCCCUUUGUCUUUUUAUCUCACAACCUGUUCUGUUCUGAAAGAUAGAUCCCUUCAGAGAUUUUUUUCCUUUUAUCUCCCAAAACUUACUGAAGUCCAUGAAGAGUUUGGAGGGUAUUUGGCCUUAUUAUACCUAGAAAAAGGAAUGGGAGCGUGAUGGAGAAAUCUGGAGACUCUUUCCCAGCUUCUGCAUGGAAAAGGCUGUUGAGGAAACCCCUGCUUGACCUCAGCGUGGUCUGGAAAGCAGCACGGUGAAGAGAGGGACGGCGCAGCACGGCAGACGAGCAGGCGCGUGAUGCAGCGCCAGCCCGAUGCUGCUGCAGGGCAGGUUGAGCACUGUCACGCCAGGAUAAAGCAUCAAUGAAUGCUGUUGUCAGGAAAGCAUCUGAAGAAGGCAGAUGAAGUCUGAAGACCGAUGUACAUGAAGUCUUAUAAACAAUUCAGACCAAGGCUACAAAUGUGAACAGAAAAUAUGGGUUAACUGCGUACGGCAAAGGAAGAGGAAUGGAGGUCUUCCAGAGAUGUCCUGUGGUACUAAUCCAGGAGAACUUGUGCUGAGACGAAGUUCAUUGUUGGUGUCAUUGGACAGACAUGGUAAUGCAGGGA